ACAAGACAUUACAUAGUGACACAGAGAUAUAUCUCUAAUUGUAUCCUCAUGCAUAAAAAAAGUCCUACGAGCCAACGUUCAAGGCGCCCAAGGACGCGCAACGUGACUCGCUCCAUUCCUCCAUUCGAUUCGAUAUCGUUUGCAAAGUGACACGCCACCGCUUCCGGAUGUCCGUUUUUAUCAUCCCGUGCCCACCCAAUGUUCUCCGGCGGCAUUGCGUCGAGGCAUCGAGGAGUGCAGAAUUCUGCGCGCCAAACGUGGAACGCCAAAAGCGACUACAUUGGCGAAACCCAGCGCCAACGCGACCUCAAAGUCGCGUCGCCGUGGCCGUCGGGCUACUUCGCAACAACGCUCGUGUACGGGCGAGAAGCGCCCCGCUAGAUUGAUUUAUCGACAACAAGAUGGUCGUUGGAGCGUGGCCGUGCAAGGAGAACCCACGGGGGGAAAGUACUGCGAAGGGAUCGGCGCCAUGACGCUUUCCGUCGAAUGGUCACCUUCUCACCAACCUGCUUCUCACCGCAGAAUCGUAAUUUAGUAAAGAAGCUGCAUCACUAUCACGCCGUUCGCCAGUGAGGAACACAUGAACAUUAUUAUCAUAGUUGAGUCACCCGUUUCUUGGAUGGACGUGAAUAUUCUCGCGAGGGAACCGAAGAACAGCAGGAAACAUGUCGC